rnacentral:rRNA from 1 species
UCACUUUCAACAACGGAUCUCUUGGCUCUCGCAUCGAUGAAGAACGUAGCGAAGUGCGAUAAGUAAUGUGAAUUGCAGUAUUCCGUGAAUCAUCGAACCUUUGAACGCAUAUUGCACUUUCUGGUAUUCCGGAAAGUAUGCCCGUUUGAGGGUCAGUU